CGGAAAUGCAAUAUGGAAGAGCACGAA
rnacentral:piRNA from 1 species